UGGAAAAUGACGCUUUCAGCGGCAUGUUUCCGAUACUAUUGACCUGAACUUCCAUUACAUUUCUUUGCCUACCGCGCUUGGUUCGUAUUUACUUUCCAUUACAUUUCUCUGUCUACCGCACUUGGUUUCGUAUUUACUAUUUUACAUACAAACUGGAAUCUGCUUGUAUUAUCAUUAUUGUGUAGUAAUCAACCGGGAACCAGUUUACAUACUUUAUUUACA
rnacentral:lncRNA from 1 species